rnacentral:rRNA from 1 species
GAUGAACGCUAGCUACAGGCUUAACACAUGCAAGUCGAGGGGAAACGACAUCGAAAGCUUGCUUUUGAUGGGCGUCGACCGGCGCACGGGUGAGUAACGCGUAUCCAACCUGCCCACCACUUGGGGAUAACCUUGCGAAAGUAAGACUAAUACCCAAUGAUAUCUCUAGAAGACAUCUGAAAGGGAUUAAAGAUUUAUCGGUGAUGGAUGGGGAUGCGUCUGAUUAGCUUGUUGGCGGGGUAACGGCCCACCAAGGCGACGAUCAGUAGGGGUUCUGAGAGGAAGGUCCCCCACAUUGGAACUGAGACACGGUCCAAACUCCUACGGGAGGCAGCAGUGAGGAAUAUUGGUCAAUGGGCGAGAGCCUGAACCAGCCAAGUAGCGUGCAGGACGACGGGCCCUAUGGGUUGUAAACGUGCUUUAUAAGGGAAUAAAGUGGGUCACGUGUGACUUUUUAGCUAUGUACCUUAUGAAUAAGGACGGCUAAUUCCGUG